GACUAACGCUGGCGUCGUGCCUAAUACAUGCAAGUCGAACGCAGUGGGGACGGGUGAGUAACACGUGGGUAACCUCCCCAUCAGAGUGGAUAACACUUGUAAACAGGUGCUAAACCUAUACUGAUGGAUGGACCCGCGGUGCAUUAGCUAGUUGGUGAGGUAACGGCUCACCAAGGCCACGAUGCAUAGCCGGCCUGAGAGGGUGAUCGGCCACACUUGGACUGAGACACGGGCCAGACUCCUACGGGAGGCAGCAGUAGGGAAUCUUCGGCAAUGGACGAAAGUCUGACCGAGCAACGCCGCGUGAGUGAAGAAGGUUUUCGGAUCGUAAAACUCUGUUGUUAGAGAAGCGGUAUCCAACCAGAAAGCAACGGCUAACUACGUGCCAGCCGCCGCGGUAAUAC
rnacentral:rRNA from 1 species